GAUGAACGCUGGCGGCGUGCCUAAUACAUGCAAGUCGAGCGAACAGACGAGGAGCUUGCUCCUCUGACGUUAGCGGCGGACGGGUGAGUAACACGUGGAUAACCUACCUAUAAGACUGGGAUAUCUUCGGGAAACCGGAGCUAAUACCGGAUAAUAUAUUGAACCGCAUGGUUCAAUAGUGAAAGACGGUUUUGCUGUCACUUAUAGAUGGAUCCGCGCCGCAUUAGCUAGUUGGUAAGGUAACGGCUUACCAAGGCAACGAUGCGUAGCCGACCUGAGAGGGUGAUCGGCCACACUGGAACUGAGACACGGUCCAGACUCCUACGGGAGGCAGCAGUAAGGAAUCUUCCGCAAUGGGCGAAAGCCUGACGGAGCAACGCCGCGUGAGUGAUGAAGGUCUUCGGAUCGUAAAACUCUGUUAUUAGGGAAGAACAAAUGUGUAAGUAACUAUGCACGUCUUGACGGUACCUAAUCAGAAAGCCACGGCUAACUACGUG
rnacentral:rRNA from 1 species